GCACUGAUGAAGAGUCCCAAACUAGGACGAAACAGUUGUCCAGUAC
rfam:Trichobilharzia regenti genome assembly, scaffold: TRE_scaffold0014882